rnacentral:rRNA from 1 species
GUGGGGAAUAUUGGGCAAUGGGCGCAAGCCUGACCCAGCAACGCCGCGUGAGGGAAGAAGGUUUUCGGAUUGUAAACCUCUGUCGCAGAUGACGAAGGAAGUGACGGUAAUCUGUGAGGAAGCCCCGGCUAACUACGUGCCAGCAGCCGCGGUAAUACGUAGGGGGCGAGCGUUGUCCGGAAUUACUGGGCGUAAAGGGAGCGUAGGCGGUCGAUUAAGUUGGAUGUGAAAUACCCGGGCUUAACUUGGGGGGUGCAUCCAAUACUGGUUGACUAGAGUACAGGAGAGGAAAGCGGAAUUCCUAGUGUAGCGGUGAAAUGCAUAGAUAUUAGGAGGAACAUCGGUGGCGAAGGCGGCUUUCUGGACUGACACUGACGCUGAGGCUCGAAAGCGUGGGGAGCAAACAGGAUUAGAAACCCCUGUAGUCC